AACGAACGCUGGCGGCAUGCCUAACACAUGCAAGUCGAACGAGACCUUCGGGUCUAGUGGCGCACGGGUGCGUAACGCGUGGGAACCUGCCCUUAGGUUCGGAAUAACUCCACGAAAGGGGUGCUAAUACCGGAUAAUGUCUUCGGACCAAAGAUUUAUCGCCUUUGGAUGGGCCCGCGUUGGAUUAGCUAGUUGGUAGGGUAAAAGCCUACCAAGGUGACGAUCCAUAGCUGGUCUGAGAGGAUGAUCAGCCACACUGGGACUGAGACACGGCCCAGACUCCUCCGGGAGGCAGCAGUGGGGAAUAUUGCACCAUGGGCGAAAUCCUGAUCCUGCACUGCCGCGUGAGUGAUGAAGUCCUUAGGGUUGUAAAGCUCUUUUACCCGUGAUGAUAAUGACAGUACCGGGAGAAUAAGCUCCGGCUAACUCCGUG
rnacentral:rRNA from 1 species